UACUACGUAGCGGGCGAGCGUUGUCCGAAGUUACUGGGCGUAAAGCGCGCGUAGGCGGUUCUUUAAGUCUGGUGUGAAAGGUUCAGGCUCAACCCGAACAGGGCACUGGAUACUGGGGGACUUGAGUGCGGGAGAGGGAAGCGGAGUUCCAGGUGUAGCGGUGAAAUGCGUAGAUAUCUGGAGGAACACCGAUGGCGAAGGCAGCUUCCUGGCCUGCAACUGACGCUGAGGCGCGAAAGCGUGGGGAGCGAACGGGAUUAGAUACCCCGGUAGUCCACGCCGUAAACGAUGAGUGCUAGGUGUUAGGGGUAUCGACCCCCCUAGUGCCGCCGCUAACGCACUAAGCACUCCGCCUGGGGAGUACGGCCGCAAGGUU
rnacentral:rRNA from 1 species